GCCCAACCCAAGCGUUUCCUCUUAGCAGGCAGGACUUUUUGUUGUUGUUGUUCCCACGGCCUUUACCUAGACUUUAGGGUGAGGAGUAGGGGAAUCCAGAUAGGAGUCUUACCAAGCCACCUUCAAAUUCAAGAGAAGGAUCAGGAGUUCAAGGUCAUCUUCAGACGCAAGUGUGACCUCAGCCUAAGAUGCAUGGAACCCUGUCUCAAAACAAAACCAAAACAGAAAUUCACCUCAAGCUACCCUCCUUUGUCUUUAUACUCAAAUGAAUAUAAAAUGAUUCUUUAGAACAUCAUGAUAAUACACACCUGGAAUCUCAGCACUUGGAAUGUGGACAAAGAGAAUCAGGAACCCAAGGCUUUCUGUCUGCUUCAAGUGUGAUUUAAGAGGUUUCACAUGAUUCCAAUUGUGGGGAAAGGAUGCAGGCACACUUGUGGAAAAAAGCAGGGGAAAGGAAACCAAGAAUGAGGACACCACACAGGUACUCUUGAGGUAUUUCCACUUUAGGCAUGAGUGAACAUGAAAAAGGCUGGUCGGGGCUGGGGGUGUAGCUCAAUUGGUAGAGCACUUGCCUAGCAUACACAGUGUACUGGGUUCUGUGCCCAGUACCUUAUAAAACCAUGCACAGCAGCACCUGCCUGUUAGUCAUUCUCAGCU